CAGUUCUAUUCUAGGCCUAGAUUGUUUCAUUAGUUAGACGCCUGUAGAGAGCAUUUUCUAUUAGUGAACAUUCAGUACUGUGCGUCAAUUUAGUUGCGAUUAACCGUUAUAAAUAUAUAAACAGAACAGAACCAAUUCGUAGUUAAAGUUUAGUUGUAUGUGGUAUUGCAAUGGAGAGUGAUCUAGUUUCUAGUUUGUUUAAUUACUGUGAGUUUUGGUUUCAAUCAGGAAUGACCUCUGUGUUACUGGAAAGCGUUGGAUGGGAGUUCUAGUUGACACACUGACUCACAUAUUCAAUAACGAAAUUGUGUUUCAUACUGCCAAAUAAUGAAAACACUGGAAGAAAAUGAUGAUGAAUAUUGUUGUACCUACUCAAUUUGGACAAAUAACUAUCAUAGGCCCACUUCUCAUGUUAAUGGUUGCGCAGAGUUCUGUAGGAACUGAAUCACUUUUAUGGAGAAGUAAUGAUCACAUCAUGAAAAGAGGAGAAAAUCAAGAGAGAAGCACCUACAGGUU